CGCUGCAAAACCUAGGGC
rnacentral:snRNA from 1 species